GGCCUUGUGGUGUAACACAUAUUAGACUGCAAACCUAAAGCUGCAGAUGAAAGUUCUGCCUGGGCUU
rnacentral:tRNA from 1 species